UACGGAGGAUCCAAGCGUUAUCCGGAAUCAUUGGGUUUAAAGGGCGCGUAGGCGGCUUGAUAAGGUUGCGGUGAAAGCCCGGGGCUCAACCCCGGGUCGGCCGUGGCAACUGUCGAGCUGGAGCACUGUAGAGGCAGGUGGAAUUCCGGGUGUAGCGGUGGAAUGCGUAGAGAUCCGGAAGAACACCGGUGGCGAAGGCGGCCUGCUGGGCAGUGGCUGACGCUGAGGCGCGACAGCGUGGGGGAGCAAACAGG
rnacentral:rRNA from 1 species